rnacentral:antisense_RNA from 1 species
CUUCACCGAGCCGAGGCGCAGCGGCUCGGCCCCGGUGCGGCCCUGGCCGUAGGUGGCGAGCAGGGCGCCCGCCUC